rnacentral:rRNA from 1 species
UACGUAGGGUGCAAGCGUUGUCCGGAAUCAUUGGGCGUAAAGCGCGUGUAGGCGGUUCGGUAAGUCGGCUGUGAAAGUCCAAGGCUCAACCUUGGGAUGCCGGUCGAUACUGCCGGACUAGAGUUCGGAAGAGGCGAGUGGAAUUCCCGGUGUAGCGGUGAAAUGCGCAGAUAUCGGGAGGAACACCUAUGGCGAAGGCAGCUCGCUGGGACGUUACUGACGCUGAGACGCGAAAGCGUGGGGAGCAAACAGG